rnacentral:rRNA from 1 species
AGGGUUUGAUUCUGGCUCAGAACGUACGCUGGCGGCACGCCUAACACAUGCAAGUCGAACGAAGUAGCAAUACUUAGUGGCAGACGGGUGAGUAACAUGUAGGUAUCUGCCCUUUGGCCUGGAAUAACACGAGGAAACUUGUGCUAAUACCGGAUAAGUCUUUACGGAGAAAGCUUUAUGCACCAUUGGAUGAGCCUGCACUUGAUUAGUUUGUUGGUGGGGUAAUGGCCUACCAAGACUGUGAUCAAUAGCUGAUUUGAGAGGAUGAUCAGCCACAUUGGGACUGAGACACGGCCCAAACUCCUACGGGAGGCAGCAGUGGGGAAUCUUGCACAAUGGAGGAAACUCUGAUGCAGCGAUGCCGCGUGAGUGAAGAAGGCCUUUGGGUUGUAAAGCUCUUUCGUCGGGGAAGAAAAUGACUGUACCCGAAUAAGAAGGUCCGGCUAACUUCGUGCCAGCCGCCGCGGUAAUUCA